GUGCUUCCUUUGGCAGCACAUAUACUAAAAUUCAAAUGAUACAGAGAAAAUUAAUGUGGCCCCAUUGCAAGGAUGGCAUACAAAUUCAUGAAGGGUUCCAGUUAAAA
rfam:Chlorocebus sabaeus isolate 1994-021 unplaced genomic scaffold Scaffold238, whole genome shotgun sequence.